rnacentral:rRNA from 1 species
AACAGGCUUAUCUCCCCCAAGAGUCCACAUCGACGGGGAGGUUUGGCACCUCGAUGUCGGCUCAUCACAUCCUGGGGCUGUAGUAGGUCCCAAGGGUUGGGCUGUUCGCCCAUUAAAGUGGUACGCGAGCUGGGUUCAGAACGUCGUGAGACAGUUCGGUCCCUAUCCGUCGCAGGCGUAGGAAAGUUGAGAAGACCUGUCCUUAGUACGAGAGGACCGGGAUGGACGUACCUCUGGUGUACCAGUUGUUCUGCCAAGGGCAUGGCUGGGUAGCUAUGUACGGAAUGGAUAAGCGCUGAAAGCAUCUAAGCGC